rnacentral:rRNA from 1 species
GAUGAACGCUAGCGGCAGCCCUUACACAUGCAAGUCGAGGGGUAACGUGAGUGCUUGCACUUGACGACGACCGGCGCACGGGUGCGGAACGCGUAUGGAACCUACCUUUAUCAGGGAGAUAGCCCAUGGAAACGUGGAUUAAUACCCCAUAGUAUUAUUUCAUUGCAUGAUGAUUUAAUUAAAGAAUUUCGGAUAGAGAUGGCCAUGCGUAUCAUUAGCUAGUAGGCGAGGUAACGGCUCACCUAGGCGACGAUGAUUAGGGGUCCUGAGAGGGAGAUCCCCCACACUGGUACUGAGACACGGACCAGACUCCUACGGGAGGCAGCAGUGAGGAAUAUUGGGCAAUGGAGGCAACUCUGACCCAGCCAUGCCGCGUGCAGGAAGACGGCCCUAUGGGUUGUAAACUGCUUUUAUACAGGAAGAACACCACCCACGUGUGGGUGACUGACGGUACUGUAAGAAUAAGGACCGGCUAACUCCGUG